AAAACCGUAAUAAAUGAGGCCCCUCAUGGGGGGGGGGGCCUAGUAAUCACAUAAUCACCAUUUUUUUGCCAAUAUAAUCACAUAAUCAUUAAAUAUUUGCUUAUCUUUAGUAAUCAAUAAUCAUAAACUAAAAAUACAGUCCUAGGUAAUCAAAUAAUCAUGAAAUAUUUGGCUUAAUAAUCAAAUAAUCAUUAAAAAAACGGCCAAGUAAUCACAUAAUCAAAAACCCCAUGA
rnacentral:lncRNA from 1 species